rnacentral:rRNA from 1 species
CUGGAGGUAUCAGAAGUGCGAAUGCUGACAUAAGUAACGAUAAAGCGGGUGAAAAGCCCGCUCGCCGGAAGACCAAGGGUUCCUGUCCAACGUUAAUCGGGGCAGGGUGAGUCGACCCCUAAGGCGAGGCCGAAAGGCGUAGUCGAUGGGAAACGGGUUAAUAUUCCCGUACUUGGUGUUACUGCGAAGGGGGGACGGAGAAGGCUAUGUUGGCCGGGCGACGGUUGUCCCGGUUUAAGCGUGUAGGUGUGUGUUCCAGGUAAAUCCGGUUCACUUUAACACUGAGGCGUGACGACGAGGCACUACGGUGCUGAAGCAACAAAUGCCCUGCUUCCAGGAAAAGCCUCUAAGCAUCAGGUAACAUCAAAUCGUACCCCAAACCGACACAGGUGGUCAGGUAGAGAAUACCAAGGCGCUUGAGAGAACUCGGGUGAAGGAACUAGGCAAAAUGGUGCCGUAACUUCGGGAGAAGGCACGCUGACACGUAGGUGAAGUGAUUUACUCAUGGAGCUGAAGUCAGUCGAAGAUACC